UACGUAGGGUGCAAGCGUUAAUCGGAAUUACUGGGCGUAAAGCGUGCGCAGGCGGUGAUGUAAGACAGUUGUGAAAUCCCCGGGCUCAACCUGGGAACUGCAUCUGUGACUGCAUUGCUGGAGAGCGGCAGAGGGGGAUGGAAUUCCGCGUGUAGCAGUGAAAUGCGUAGAUAUGCGGAGGAACACCGAUGGCGAAGGCAAUCCCCUGGGCCUGCACUGACGCUCAUGCACGAAAGCGUGGGGAGCAAACAGG
rnacentral:rRNA from 1 species